rnacentral:rRNA from 1 species
GAUGAACGCUAGCUACAGGCUUAACACAUGCAAGUCGAGGGGUAGCAGGGUAGCAAUACCGCUGACGACCGGCGCACGGGUGAGUAACACGUAUCCAACCUUCCCAUAACUCGGGGAUAGCCUUUCGAAAGAAAGAUUAAUACCCGAUAGUACUUAAGAAAGGCAUCUUUUUUAAGUUAAAGAUUUAUUGGUUAUGGAUGGGGAUGCGUUCCAUUAGAUAGUUGGUGAGGUAACGGCUCACCAAGUCUUCGAUGGAUAGGGGUUCUGAGAGGAAGGUCCCCCACAUUGGUACUGAGACACGGACCAAACUCCUACGGGAGGCAGCAGUGAGGAAUAUUGGUCAAUGGGCGAGAGCCUGAACCAGCCAAGUAGCGUGAAGGAUGAAGGUCCUAUGGAUUGUAAACUUCUUUUAUAGUAGAAUAAAGUGACCUACGUGUAGGUUUUUGUAUGUAUACUAUGAAUAAGGAUCGGCUAACUCCGUGCCAGCCGCCGCUGUAAUAC